UACGUAGGCAGCAAGCGUUGUUCGGAGUUACUGGGCGUAAAGCGCACGUAGGCGGAUCGAUCAGUCAGGGGUGAAAUCCCAGGGCUCAACCCUGGAACUGCCUUUGAUACUGUCGAUCUGGAGUAUGGAAGAGGUGAGUGGAAUUCCGAGUGUAGAGGUGAAAUUCGUAGAUAUUCGGAGGAACACCAGUGGCGAAGGCGGCUCACUGGUCCAUUACUGACGCUGAGGUGCGAAAGCGUGGGGAGCAAACAGG
rnacentral:rRNA from 1 species